CGCGGUAUCCUGACCGUGCUAAGGUAGCGUAAUAAUUUGUCCUUUAAUUGUGGGCUUGUAUGAAUGGGUUAACGAGAGUUUAGCUGUCUUUAAUAAAUAGAAAUUAAUUUUAAGGUGAAAAGGCCUUAAUGUUAAUAUAGGAUAAAAAGACCCUAUAGAGCUUUAUCAGAUAUUAUUAAAAAAAAAAUUAGUAAUUUUUUUUGUUUAAUUUAAUAAGGUUUAACUGGGGCGGUUAAUGAAGUUUUUAAUCUUCUUUGAUUAAUUAUAGAUUUAAGAUCUUUUUAUUAAAUAGAGCCUAGUAAAGACUAGAAGAAUAGCUACCUUAGGGGUAACAGACUAAUUUUUUUUGAGAGUUCGUAUUGACAAAAAAGUUUGGCACCUCGAUGUUGGCUUAG
rnacentral:rRNA from 1 species